rnacentral:rRNA from 1 species
UACAGAGGGUGCAAGCGUUAAUCGGAAUUACUGGGCGUAAAGAGCACGUAGGUGGUUGUUUAAGUUGGAUGUGAAAUCCCCGGGCUUAACCUGGGAGGGUCAUUCAAAACUGGGCGACUAGAGUACGGUAGAGGGAAGUGGAAUUUCCGGUGUAGCGGUGAAAUGCAUAGAUAUCGGAAGGAACAUCAGUGGCGAAGGCGACUUCCUGGACUGAUACUGACACUGAGGUGCGAAAGCGUGGGGAGCAAACAGG